rnacentral:rRNA from 11 species
UUGGCUGUUCGCCAAUUAAAGCGUCACGUGAGUUGGGUUCAGAACGAUGUGAAUCAGUUUGGUCUCUAUCUGCUUUAAUUGUUUAAAAAUUUAGAAGGUUUAUUUUUAGUACGAGAGGACCAAAAUAAAAAAACCUCUGAUGCGUCGAUUAUUUUUUUCUAAGUAAGUCGAUUAGUUACGUUUUCUUUUAUAAUUGCUGAAAGCAUCAAAAGCAAGAAAAUAACUUUAAACCAAAUUUUUUAAAAAUAUAUAACGUGGUAGAUCACCACGCGCAUAGGCAAAUUGUCAAUUUGUAGUAAUACAAAAGCUAAUUUGUACUAACUUA